UACGGAGGGGGUUAGCGUUGUUCGGAAUUACUGGGCGUAAAGCGUGCGUAGGCUGAUUAGUCAGUCAGAGGUGAAAUCCCAGGGCUUAACCCUGGAACUGCCUUUGAUACUGCUAGUCUAGAGUAUGAGAGAGGUGAGUGGAAUUCCAAGUGUAGAGGUGAAAUUCGUAGAUAUUUGGAGGAACACCAGCGGCGAAGGCGGCUCACUGGCUCAUUACUGACGCUGAGGUACGAAAGUGUGGGUAGCAAACAGG
rnacentral:rRNA from 1 species